rnacentral:rRNA from 1 species
CAGCAUUCUGUAGCAAUACAGGGUGUGGGCGCGUGGCGAACGGGUGCGUAACACGUGGAUAACCUUCCUUCAGGUGGGGAAUAACCCAGUGAAAAUUGGGCUAAUACCGCAUAACAUCGCGAUGGCACAUGCUGUUGCGUUCAAAGGCGCAAGUCGCCAGAAGAGGGAUCCGCGGCCGAUUAGCUAGUUGGCGAGGUAACGGCUCACCAAGGCAUUGAUCGGUAGCCGGACUGAGAGGUCGCCCGGCCACACUGGAACUGAGACACGGUCCAGACUCCUCCGCGAGGCAGCAGUGGGGAAUCUUGCACAAUGGACGAAAGUCUGAUGCAGCAACGCCGCGUGGGGGAUGAAGCUUCUCGGA